rnacentral:rRNA from 1 species
GAAAGCGAGUCUGAAUAGGGCGUUUAGUAUUUGGUCGUAGACCCGAAACCAGGUGAUCUACCCUUGGUCAGGUUGAAGUUCAGGUAACACUGAAUGGAGGACCGAACCGACUUACGUUGAAAAGUGAGCGGAUGAACUGAGGGUAGCGGAGAAAUUCCAAUCGAACCUGGAGAUAGCUGGUUCUCUCCGAAAUAGCUUUAGGGCUAGCCUCAAGUGAUGAUUAUUGGAGGUAGAGCACUGUUUGGACGAGGGGCCCCUCUCGGGUUACCGAAUUCAGACAAACUCCGAAUGCCAAUUAAUUUAACUUGGGAGUCAGAACAUGGGUGAUAAGGUCCGUGUUCGAAAGGGAAACAGCCCAGACCACCAGCUAAGGUCCCAAAAUAUAUGUUAAGUGGAAAAGGAUGUGGCGUUGCCCAGACAACUAGGAUGUUGGCUUAGAAGCAGCCAUCAUUUAAAGAGUGCGUAAUAGCUCACUAGUCGAGUGACACUGCGCCGAAAAUGUACCGGGGCUAAACAUAUUACCGAAGCUGUGGAUUGUCCUUUGGACAAUGGUAGGAGAGCGUUCUAAGGGCGUUGAAGCAUGAUCGUAAGGACAUGUGGAGCGCUUAGAAGUGAGAAUGCCGGUGUGAGUAGCGAAAGACGGGUGAGAAUCCCGUCCACCGAUUGACUAAGGUUUCCAGAGGAAGGCUCGUCCGCUCUGGGUUAGUCGGGUCCUAAGCUGAGGCCGACAGGCGUAGGCGAUGGAUAACAGGUUGAUAUUCCUGUACCACCUAUAAUCGUUUUA